rnacentral:lncRNA from 1 species
GUUGGAAGCAGCAGAAUUUCCUUUUGAUUUGUGAGUUUAGAGAAGUUUUGGAGCCAUCCCAGCAGUGGACUUCAUUGGAUGACAGAUAUUGUGCAGUAGAUACAGAGAGGCCAGCUCACCUGUCGGCUACAAUAGCAUCAGCUUCACUACACACCAGCUUUGAGCAUUCUCCAGCAGCUUGGAAAAAGCACAGCUGCUUGGGAAAAUGCAGGUCAACAGUGAAUUUGUCUUCUGACUUCUCAAACCAUUGAAGCACUGUUCAAAUCUUAGAACCA